UCGAACCCUGCAAAGCAGAACGACCCGUGAACACGUAAAAACAACUGAGCGUCGAGAGUGGACCAAGGAAUUUUUGAAUACACUCGAUGCUUUGUCAAUGUGCAUUUACCUUUGUUCUUUUGGACUUGGUGAAUGUGUCAUUGGCGCAAUAACAACCCCCGGCACAAUGUGUGCCAAGGAAAACUAAACUUAAGAAGGCUUGUUUUAUGUUGCCCCGUUUGCGGUGUGCUCAUGGAACGUGGCUUCUUUAUAAAUCGCAUCGCCUCCAACAAAUAUUUGUUGGGGACGGAUAUUGGUUUCCCGUGCUCAUGGUGUGGUUGGCCAAAAUAAGAGUCCCUUCGAUGGACGCAUGAACUAGUGGUGGUCGUAAAAACCCUCGUUCUUUGUUCUGUGUUAGUCGUAAGGAAAAACUCUCUAAAUACCCAAUGUGUUGUCUUUGGAUGAUGCUUCGACCG
rnacentral:rRNA from 1 species